UAAGGAUUUCUACCACCACCUUAAAAUCCAAACCCCCAGCCAAAACUAGUUUACCUAUUAUCUCACCAAAAUUAUUUGGUGCUUUAGGUAAAUCUAUGCCGAUAUCAUCCAGCAGAGAAGCAAAUAACAUGCACCCGGUCCCUAUGUCUCUGGCUGAAAGAAUCUUCUUAAUUAGCAGGUACUCAAAAAGAUUUGCAACAGGUUCAACGCAUGGUGGACUCUUAUCUAGUGCAAGGGAAAUGGCUUCCUUGACAAACU
rnacentral:misc_RNA from 1 species